rnacentral:rRNA from 1 species
UACGAAGGGAGCUAGCGUUGUUCGGAAUCACUGGGCGUAAAGCGCACGUAGGCGGACGUGUCAGUCAGGGGUGAAAUCCCGGAGCUCAACUUCGGAACUGCCUUUGAUACAGCACGUCUUGAGUCCGGAAGAGGUGGGUGGAAUUCCUAGUGUAGAGGUGAAAUUCGUAGAUAUUAGGAAGAACACCGGUGGCGAAGGCGGCCCACUGGUCCGGUACUGACGCUGAGACGCGAAAGCGUGGGGAGCAACAGG